UACGAAGGGGGCUAGCGUUGUUCGGAAUUACUGGGCGUAAAGCGUGCGCAGGCGGCUUCUCAAGUCAGGGGUGAAAGCCCAGAGCUCAACUCUGGAAUUGCCUUUGAGACUGAGUGGCUUGAGUACGAAAGAGGUGAGUGGAAUUCCCAGUGUAGAGGUGAAAUUCGUAGAUAUUGGGAAGAACACCGGUGGCGAAGGCGGCUCACUGGCUCGUAACUGACGCUCAUGCACGACAGCGUGGGGAUCAAACAGG
rnacentral:rRNA from 1 species